AUUAAUGUGAUGUUUUGUAAUACCGCCCCAGUCUGAUAAUUGUGACGAUUGGUUAUAUUUGCUGAUAUU
rnacentral:snoRNA from 1 species